GAAUAUUUAGUGAAGAUAGAGCAGCUUCGAGUUUAUGUUUUUAUGUCACAUGUGUACAUAAUGUACCUGAAUAUUCUAUGAAGGUGGAGCAGAUUGUAGUUUGUGUGUUUUAUGUCACAUUUUGUACAUAAUGCACCUGAAUAUUCAGGGGAAGAAAUGGAAACUUGGACCUCAACUGGAAUUGUUAUGCGAAGCGGCUGACAUAGUGUUAGGCAACUGGUUAAAAGUAAUGCAUUGUUCUCAUUUUGACCUCCUAGUCAGUGUUGUUAUGAGAGUCGGUACUGAAUUGUAAAACAGUGUCAUGAAUUGUAUUACAGAUUAAGAGGGUUAAGAGUAGAAAAUGGGGUUUAUGAGCUUGUUACUAUAUUUGUUGCUUUCUCAGUCUUACUGGCACGAAUAAACUUACAACUUCUAAUAAAAGGCUGAACUUUAUCCUGCAGAAAGUGCUUACUCACCGUAUUGUCAUUGUAUAGAGUGGUCUUGCACUCACUGCAAUGUCAUUGUUUAUCGUAGUAUGUCACUCACUGUAAUGCCAUUGUAUAAAGUAGCAUGUCACCUACUGUAAUGUCAUUGUAUAGAGAAGCAUGUAAAUCACUGUAAUGUCAUUGUAUAAAGCAGAAUGUCACUCGCUCUUAGUAAUGUCAAUUGUAGCAGAGUAGUAUGUCACUUCACUGUAAUGUCGUUGUAUAAGGCAGAAUGUACUCACUCCACUGUAAUGUCGUUGUAUAAAGGAGGAUGUCACUCACUGUAAUGUCGUGAUUUCUCAGCAGUAAUGUGUAUUGACGACCUUGUUACCUGCAGAAUAAAAUUGCAAAACAUUGUAAA